GACGAACGCUGGCGGCGUGCUUAACACAUGCAAGUCGAACGGAAAGGCCCUGCUUUUGUGGGGUGCUCGAGUGGCGAACGGGUGAGUAACACGUGAGUAACCUGCCCUUGACUUUGGGAUAACUUCAGGAAACUGGGGCUAAUACCGGAUAGGAGCUCCUGCUGCAUGGUGGGGGUUGGAAAGUUUCGGCGGUUGGGGAUGGACUCGCGGCUUAUCAGCUUGUUGGUGGGGUAGUGGCUUACCAAGGCUUUGACGGGUAGCCGGCCUGAGAGGGUGACCGGCCAAACUGGGACUGAGAUACGGCCCAGACUCCUACGGGAGGCAGCAGUGGGGAAUAUUGCACAAUGGGCGGAAGCAUGAUGCAGCAACGCCGCGUGCGGGAUGACGGCAUUCGGGUUGUAAACCGCUUUCGCCUGUGACGAAGCGUGAGUGACGGUAAUGGGUAAAGAAGCACCGGCUAACUACGUG
rnacentral:rRNA from 1 species